rnacentral:rRNA from 1 species
UACAUGGGGUGCAAACGUUGCUCGGAAUUAUUGGGCGUAAAGCGCGCGUAGGCGGUUACUUAAGUCGGAUGUGAAAGCCCUCGGCUUAACUGAGGAAGUGCACCCGAAACUGAGUAGCUAGAGUACGAAAGAGGGUCGCGGAAUUCCCGGUGUAGAGGUGAAAUUCGUAGAUAUUCGCAAGAACACCAGUGGCGAAGGCGGCUCACUGGCCCGGUACUGACGCUGAGACGCGAAAGCCAGGGGGAGCAAACGGG